rnacentral:lncRNA from 1 species
GGUGAGAUGGGGUGGCAAAGGGUCAACGGAGGAAGGCGCGAAACUGGAGAAGCCGAAAAAUGCCGUUGUCAGACUGCCAGAGCAAGAGUAUGAGCCCUGGGAACCCAAGCCGAAGAAGUGCAGCCUGCGGAAGCCGCCCCCGCCGGGCGAGUGGUAUGCCCCCAUCAAGGGCAAGCUGGACGCCAUCUGGGCCCUCAUCCGGCGCGGCUACGAUCACGUCUCUCUUCUGAGGCCGCAGCCAGGAGAGCAGUCUCUGAAUACGUUUGCGACGGGUGCUUGAGGGAGGCAAAGUGCAACAGAGCUGAUGCUCGGCAGCCGUCUUCACAAGCAGAUGCAUCCAUUCCUGUAUGAAGCCACGCAUUCAGUUUUUUGAAAUUGGCAUUAGCAGAGGUAAAAAGGCUGGUUUUAUU